CAAUAGCGUAUAUUAAAGUUGUUGCAGUUAAAAAGCUCGUAGUUGGAUUUCGGGAUGGCCCGGCCGGUCUGCCGCAAGGUAUGUUACUGGCCGAGCUGUUCUUCUUCGCAAAGACUGUGUGUGCUCUUAACUGAGUGUGCUCAGGAUCUGUGACGUUUACUUUGAAAAAAUUAGAGUGUUCAAAGCAAGCCAGCGCUUGAAUACAUAAGCAUGGAAUAAUGGAAUAGGACUUUGGUUCUAUUUUGUUGGUUUCUGGAACCUUAGUAAUGAUUAAGAGAGACAGUUGGGGGCAUUCGUAUUUCGUUGUCAGAGGUGAAAUUCUUGGAUUUACGAAAGACGAACUACUACGAAAGCAUUUGCCAAGAAUGUUUUCAUUAA
rnacentral:rRNA from 1 species